rnacentral:rRNA from 1 species
GAUGAACGCUAGCGAUAGGCUUAACACAUGCAAGUCGAGGGGCAGCAUGGUCUUAGCUUGCUAAGACUGAUGGCGACCGGCGCACGGGUGCGUAACGCGUAUGCAACUUGCCUCACAGAGGGGGAUAACCCGUCGAAAGACGGACUAAUACCGCGUACACUCUAUGUUGGGCAUCCAAUGUAGAGGAAAUGAAAUUCGCUGUGAGAUAGGCAUGCGUCCCAUUAGCUAGUUGGUGAGGUAACGGCUCACCAAGGCGACGAUGGGUAGGGGAACUGAGAGGUUGAACCCCCACACUGGUACUGAGACACGGACCAGACUCCUACGGGAGGCAGCAGUGAGGAAUAUUGGUCAAUGGGCGAGAGCCUGAACCAGCCAAGUCGCGUGAAGGAUGACUGUCUUAUGGAUUGUAAACUUCUUUUAUACGGGAAUAACAAGAGCCACGUGUGGCUCCCUGCAUGUACC